rnacentral:rRNA from 1 species
ACGCUGGCGGCAGGCCUAACACAUGCAAGUCGAGCGGUAGAGAGAAGCUUGCUUCUCUUGAGAGCGGCGGACGGGUGAGUAAUGCCUAGGAAUCUGCCUGGUAGUGGGGGAUAACGUCCGGAAACGGACGCUAAUACCGCAUACGUCCUACGGGAGAAAGCAGGGGACCUUCGGGCCUUGCGCUAUCAGAUGAGCCUAGGUCGGAUUAGCUAGUUGGUGGGGUAAUGGCUCACCAAGGCGACGAUCCGUAACUGGUCUGAGAGGAUGAUCAGUCACACUGGAACUGAGACACGGUCCAGACUCCUACGGGAGGCAGCAGUGGGGAAUAUUGGACAAUGGGCGAAAGCCUGAUCCAGCCAUGCCGCGUGUGUGAAGAAGGUCUUCGGAUUGUAAAGCACUUUAAGUUGGGAGGAAGGGCAGUUACUUAAUACGUAAUUGUUUUGACGUUACCGACAGAAUAAGCACCGGCUAACUCUGUGCCAGCAGCCGCGGUAAUACAGAGGGUGCAAGCGUUAAUCGGAAUUACUGGGCGUAAAGCGCGCGUAGGUGGUUCGUUAAGUUGGAUGUGAAAUCCCCGGGCUCAACCUGGGAACUGCAUUCAAAACUGACGAGCUAGAGUAUGGUAGAGGGUGGUGGAAUUUCCUGUGUAGCGGUGAAAUGCGUAGAUAUAGGAAGGAACACCAGUGGCGAAGGCGACCACCUGGACUGGUACUGACACUGAGGUGCGAAAGCGUGGGGAGCAAAC